UGCCCAGCAACUCCUAUCCCUACCUCCUCGUGGUACUGGCCGGGGUACGAGUAACCUUAGGGAAGAUCGGGUAACCAACCCCCGGUGGGAACUCUGGUCGUAUGCUGACAGGGAAGG
rnacentral:ribozyme from 1 species